CCUACGUGAGGCAGCAGUGAGGAAUAUUGGUCAAUGGGCGCGAGCCUGAACCAGCCAAGUAGCGUGAAGGAUGACUGCCCUACGGGUUGUAAACUUCUUUUAUAAAGUAAUAAAGUGAGGCACGUGUGCCUUUUUGUAUGUACUUUAUGAAUAAGGAUCGGCUAACUCCGUGCCAGCAGCCGCGGUAAUACGGAGGAUCCGCGCGUUAUCCGGAUUUAUUGGGUUUAAAGGGAGCGUAGAUGGGUUGUUAAGUCAGUUGUGAAAGUUUGCGGCUCAACCGUAAAAUUGCAAUUGAUACUGGCAGUCUUGAGUACAGUUGAGGUAGGCGGAAUUCGUGGUGUAGCGGUGAAAUGCUUAGAUAUCACGAAGAACUCCGAUUGCGAAGGCAGCUUACUAAACUGCCACUGACAUUGAUGCUCGAAAGUGUGGGUAUCAAACAGGAUUAGAUACCCGUGUAGUC
rnacentral:rRNA from 1 species